rnacentral:precursor_RNA from 10 species
AAUGUUCUUUCAAAAUUCACUCAUACUGAUGGUUUUCCAUGUGUAAGAGCUAUUAUGCUAUGCUAUUGCACAUGUUGUACCAACCAGUGUGUAGAUAACUCCCAUCUAAACACG